rnacentral:lncRNA from 1 species
AGAAGUAUGACACUCACAGUGAAAGCACAAAACAUCAAGCCAACAGUUCAGGACUAGUCAUUCAAAUGGACUAAAGGUGGGGGAGAAAAAAUAAGAGUGGAUAAAAGAAAGAAAGAAAACAGAGAAAGGUGGGAAAAAAAAAACAAAGGAAGGAAGAGAGAAAAGAGAAUGAGAGGAAGAGAAGGAAGGGGAAAAACAAGAUUGACUUUACAGUAUGAGAUAUACUAUUAUAUAUUGGACCCUUGGUGGGCAGUGCCUAAACAGAGACAACUACAGGUUUCUGGCUGUGGCCACUCUCUGGUGAAACUAAGGGGUUUCUGUGUGGAGGUGCCUAACAGCCACCGUCCAGUUUGGGUAAAGAAAGCUUUUUAUGGUUCACUAAGGACAAUCAACCCCUUCGCAAUCUAGAACCAAAAGACUGGAUCUUCUGAGAACAUCUACUGUAAGAACUAUAGUUACACAACAGACUUUGAAUUCUCUUGUGAAAGUUAAGGUAGAAUUGGCUGAACAGAGGAGUAUCUGUGCGGCUGCUGGCAUUUGUGGCUUAUGGAGAAACACAUUAAAUGAAGAUUACAGAGAUUCAUUGGCAGGGGAUUAACAGAGAUUGCUUAAUUAAUAGUAUGAUGCCUCUGGCUUCCCUCUAUCACACGUCUUCUUUUCGAGUAAAGGUUUUUCAUAAAUGUGAGCGUGGAAGAAGAAACCAGUUAAAUAUGGAACUUCACACCAGGACACAAAAGAUGGUGUCAGAAGCGGAUCCGAAGUGGAACUUUUAGUGACCCUCAGGAGCACUGAAUGAACAUGCAAGGAACCUGCAGGACCCACUUGUGUCCAUUGAUCUCUGGGAGCAGCUGGGAUAAGCUCCUUUUCGGAUUUCAGAGCUCCAUGGACUUGUGUCUUGAGAUCCCUGAGUUUCUUUGAGCAAAUUUCUGAUCCAAAAUGGGUUUGGCAUCAUGGCAGAAACAGGACUGGGUCCACGAAUGGAUUUGAUCCAGGAAUGAACUGGCUUGGAUCCAGUCAGAGGUCUCUUACAUCUGACUGGGUCAGAAAGGAACUGGUAGUAAGCAGUAAUAUUGCAGAGGUUAUAACAUUUGGCUUUUAAAAAAUAACAGGAAUUUUUGUGUUCUACCUCCUAUGUUAAAUUUUUCUUGUAUACUUAGGUAGAAAAAAGUCAUUGGCUAAGUUAAUCAAGAGAACCUGAGAGUAAAGCCAAUAUUUUAGCAGGAUGGUGUGGCAAGCUGAGUCACUAAGGCUGCUCAGGGAAAGGGAACCCAGAAUCUUGGCAUGCCGGCAAAAGGCCCAUGGUUCACUGAGGACAACUCCUUUGCAAUCUAGAACCCAAAGAUUGGAUCUUCUGAGAACAUCAGAGAAAGACUGUCCUUGCCAUCCACACUACAGCAAAGCUUUGGAGCCUUGAACCUUGGGUUCAUGAUCUUACAACUGAGAAGGGCCCCUCCACACUCCUGAACUGUACAACCAUUGAAACUCUUAAGGUAAAAUUAACUAGGAAAGUUUAUCUCCUUAAGAAGAUGGCAUCCUUGAUGUGAACAGCUUUUCCCAAGAUCCUGGAUCAAAACGUCUACUAUCACGAGACUCUUAUAUUUGAAUAUAUUUUCCGGUUUAUGCCUUUAGGAACAAUUGAAAUGAAAGGGGGAUCUAUUAUGUGCACUUAUAGGGUAUACUUUUAUUUGUGAAGGAUUUUGCAUCCAGCCUUAUAUGAAUAACCUUGUACUUUAAUAGAUAAAAGAUGAAGGCUCAAUGUAGGUGAGAAAAUGUAGUGGUACAUAUGUUGCCUCAUAAUCAGUCAAAACUCUUCUUAACCCACAUAAUGGAUUAAAGAGAAUAUUGCCAGGAGGCCUUCGCUUUUCUAAAAUGACAUCAUUUGUUAGGUCCUUUUUCCAUAGUUUAGUAUAAAAGAGGCAAUAAUUAGAAAUGUCACCCUCAUAAUAGGCUCUACAGCAAAUUCUACUUUAAAGGCUAUUGUUACACAACAGACUUUAAAUUAUCUUGUAAAAGUUAUGCUAAAUAAUAGAAUUGGCCAAACAGAAAAGUACCUGUGCAGUUGCUGACACCUGUGGCCUAUGGAGAAAUACAUCAAAUGUAGAUUAUACAAUUUCAGUUGUAGGGGAUUAAUGAAAAGACCACCUAGUCAAGCAAGUAGGCUCUUCAUAUAGCUCAUUCUUUAAUCUAUUUAAUUUUACAUGGUUUGGUUUAUGGGGACCCUGGGUAAGGAGCACACUCCAAAUUUGUUAUUAUUCUCCCAGUACUCAUAAUGAUAGUCUCCCUGAUGUGCUAUAUUCUCUUAAAGGUUUUAAAUGUUUGCAUGCAGCCAUCUCUAGAACAUCAAAUGGUCUCUAUUCAACCAGAAUGACAAAAGCUGAAAGAAAUGUGUGACCCUGAGGAUAUCGUAACCUACGAAUGAUGUGCUGAGACUGGAAACCCUAAAUGAUGUUACUGAGAAUGGCACUAAGGCCUUAAGUUUUGGUCACACUGUCACCUAAGUGAGAACCUGGCUGAAAAGGGAGAAUUUUUAAACAACAAAAUUAGAGGAAGCCACUAUUUUGGACUGAGCUCAUGCACUAGGCCCCAACAAACGAAACCAAGCUAAAAUGGAGUCACUCAUCCUAAAUGUGACAUAAUCAAACCAAGGCUUUAAGAACACAGAUAGAUGCUAGAACAGACUACAUUUUGUUUUUCUCCUGUAAACAGGAUGUCUAUCAUAAGGAGGUACCGUCUACUCAGUCCUUAUUCUCUCCUUGCAAAACCCACUUUUCUACUGUUUCCCAGUGGGUUUCAAACCAUAUAAUACAUUUAUGAUAGUGAUAUUAACAUCAAUGACUAAGGUUUUGGUCAAUCUCUCAAAAUUGAGAAAAUGACCAAAAGAGGGAAAUGAUUGCUAAAGCAAACUAAAUAUGGCCUGGGAAGAACUCCAUAGUCUUAUAUUUGAGUUCUUGCAGAUGAACUGUAACUUAGCUUAAUAGUCAGACAAAACUGAAAACCUAACUUAAUAGUAUGCGUCUGUAACAAUGGCUGAGUGUUCGCUAAUCCCAGCGGCCAUACUUCAACCACUCAUAGACUGCUGAAAGUUCAAAGUGCAUUCAAAUAAGGCAAAAACGGAGCUUAACCAGCCUCACUGUUUCUGUAUCUCACUUCCGAUUCCUGUAUGUCACUUUACCUUUUUUGUCUAUAAAUGUGUUCUGACCACGAGGCACCCCAGGUCUCUGUGAAUCUGUUGUAAUUCUGGAGGUGCCUGAUUCGCCAAUCAUUCAUUGCUCAAUUAAACUCCUUUAAAUUUAACUCAGCUGGACUUUUCCUUUUAUCAGGUUGAAUUUUACAUAUCUACUUUAGAUUUUAAUUUCUUCUAUAAAUUAAAAUCUAAUCUUCCAUAAUUUCUGAUAAAAUGUUUGUUAAAUGAACUCAAUGCAUUGGACAAAAAUUUCCUGUUGCUUUUCUUUCAAAGUACAUAAAUUGAUGCUACUUUUUCCACCUUUCUCACAUUUUCUCUGUCCCAAUCUUACACUGGAGGUUCAAUAGUCUUCUUCAUGCCUCAAGUUCUUUCUCUUGUAAUAUGAAAGGCAUGUGGCCACUUUCCUUUUCUAAUUCUUUCAUAAAUCUAAACAUUUUCACUACCUAUUGGUUACUAUGCUCACCAUCUGGGUGAAGGCAUCAUUUGUACACAAAAUCUAUAAAAUAUACUAUUUACUUAUGUAAAAAACCUAAACAUGUACCUGCUGAACCUAAAAUAAAAGUUGAAAAAGAAAAAUAAAUAAAUAAUACCUUCCCAGAAUAUUGCCUAUAGGAACAAGUCUAAAUUCCUUAAUACAGAGUAAAAUGGUAAUAAAAUUCUUGCCCUGAUUUUCUUUCUUAGGCCUAUGUCAUUUCAACACUCCCCAUCACCAUUCUUCCCCAAUCUCUUCCAUUUUUUGAGUCUAAAAUCCUUAAUACAUUGAAUUUUUGUUCAAUAUUUGUUAUAUGCCCAAAACUAUGCUAAGCUGCUGGACUCGUGCUCUUUCACAAUUCCUUUUCUGUUCCUUUCAGACUAGUGAAAUGAUACUGAUUUUUAAUGAUCUGUCUUUUCUUGGAAAUUUCCUAUUUCCAAAUGUCAAAAAAAGAACUUAUAAUUUUUGUCUCUCCAUUUCCAUAACACUUAUCAAUGUCACUGACAUAGCCCUAAUAAUUAUGAGAUGUACAUUGUUAGUUACACACAUUUCUUGUUUUCCUACUUUUGAUGUCUUUAAGGUCAGAGAUUGUAUUUUACUCGUUUGUAUUCCUAUCAGAAAAAAAACUGUGGCUUACAUGUAAUAUACAUUCAGUAAUUGUUUGAAUGAAAAAUGUAUUAAAAUAGUAUGAGUAUCCAAGUUGGUGAUUCAAUUUAGUUAAUCUCUUCUGAUACCCCUACCCCAAAAAGGCAUAUGUAAAAGUGCAUAAAAUUGUGUGUAUGAAUAUGUAGAUCAAUAGAUAGAAGCAUCUGUGAACACAAAUAAGAAAUUUAGGAAAUGAUUAUCUUAGAAACUCUUUAGCAUCAAAUCUUAUUUAUUUAUUUAUUUAUUUGCUAUAGCUUUUGGGGAAAAGUUGGAUUUUUGUUACAUGGAUAAGUUCUCUUGUAGUAAUUCCUGAGAUUUUGGUGCACACUGUACCCAAUCUGUAUUCUUUAUUCCUCACCCCUCUCCCCGCAUUCCCCUUGAGUCUCUGAAGUCCCUUAUAUCAUUCUUACGCCUUUGCAGCCUCAUAACUUAGCUCCCACUUAUAAGUGAGAUCAUACAAAAUUUGGUUUUCCAUUCCUGAGUUACUUCACUUAGAAUAACUGUUUCCAGCUCCAUCCAGGUUGCUGAAAAUGCCAUUAUUUCAUUCAUUUUUAUGGCUGAGUAGUAUUCCAUGGUGUAUAUAUGCCACCUUUUCUUUAUUUACUCUUUGGCCAGUGGACAUUUAGGCUGAUUUCAUAUUUUUGCAAUUGUGAAUUUUGCUACUAUACACAUGUAUGUGCAAGUGUAUUUUUCAUACAAUGACUUCUUUUCCUCUGGGUAGAGACCCAGUAGUGCGAUUGCUGGAUGAAAUGCUAGUUCUACUUCUAGUUAUUUAAGGAAUCUCCAUACUGUUUUCCAUAUGGGUGGUACUAGUUUACAUUCCCAACAGCAGUAUAAAAGUGUUCCCUUUUCACCAUAUUCACGCUAAUAUUUAUUAUUUUUUAUUUUUAAUUAUGGUCAUUCUUGGAUCUCAUUGUAUUUUCAAUUUGCAUUUCCCUGGUAAUUAGAGAUGUUGAGCAUAUUUUCAUGUUUGUUGGCCAUUUGGAUAACUUUUUCUGAGAAUUGUCUGUUCAUGUCCUUUGCCCACUUUUUAAGUUUAAUUUAAUACUAAUCCUACUAUUAUAUAUAUAUAUAUAAG